CUGUAGAGGACCCACAGCACAUCAGGGGCUAAAAGCCAGCUGGAAGAACUGGGUCUGGCCAUGACUGUUUCAUUGCCUCCUGCCUGCCCUGAAGAGCUUAGUGAGAAGCCACGUCACCCACGUGAUGGGACUCUGGGAAAGGACAUUGCACAGGUGCUGAGCAAGAGAAAAUGGUUCUCUUCCAUGAGAACCAGAUGGAGCCUGCGGCACACUUGUCCUCAAGAAACCAGAGCAAGGAGGGGAAGGUGACCAGAAUCCACAUCACCUGGGACUGGAGACUCACAGUUUCCUCUGUCCUGUUCAUCUGUCUGGCUACAUCUAAAGUUCAGCCACAGGAUGAUUUCCAACUUUAUGCCCACAGAGCGAUUCAUUUGACUUCUGAGUUGUCUGUUUCAUGUCUCCCUCUCCAGCACCCCCAAAGGGAGGGGGGAAGAAAGGAGGUAAGCAUCUUUAUUUCUUCUUCUUCCAGAUGUUAAGGACAUACUCAAGCUUGAUAGAAGCUCUCCUCUCUCUUAGAGGAGAGUUUAUUAACAUGGAGUAAUUGAAGUCAAUGUUCAAUUUAGUCUUAAUAAUAUUGAUGUCUUCCAGUUCCUUUGAGACUUGCCAUACUUGAGACAGAUGACAACAGUGGUUUUAAGAGCACCAAGGGUAAAUUCAUGCAAAUCCCUACAUCAUUCAGAUUAGUCUAGUGCAGUCA